GGUCUCACUGAUUCCUCCUUCCUGAUGAACCGUAAUGCCAUUAAUUUGGUGUUGCGGGGAAUUUGGACUGUUACUUUGAAAAAAUUAGAGUGUUUUAAAGCAAGCUAACGCUUGAAUACAUUAGCAUGGAAUAAUGAAAUAGGACGUUCGAUCCUAUUUUGUUGGUUUCUGAAUCACCGUAAUGAUUAAU
rnacentral:rRNA from 1 species